GGGAGUCUGAGCACUAUAAAUAUCGGUGCCCAGGGCUGCAGAGCUCUAUUGAGAGCUGACACUUUCUAAAUGGAGAUGCAGAGACGAGUAAGGAGAGGUUCCUGUGCCCCCAAAGAGCUGAAGCUGGAACUUGAGGAGAGGCCAUCCCGCAGGAAUGGGAUUAGAUAGGUUUGCUGGAUGCAGCUAAGGAGCAGGAGCAGAGAGCUUCCAUGUCAUUCCGUCAUGGAGGCUGAGGGAGGAACCUCUUAGCUGGUGCAAUGCAGCAGGAUUGGACUGGCAUAAUUUCUGAAGUCAAGAAAUAAAUAUUACAUCAGAAGAUUGGUGUAGGUUUCUCAGUGCCAAGCCCUGUCUGACAACAGGGUGUUUGUGGCCACAAGGAAAUGCCUACUGAAGAAAGACCACAGAAUUGGACUUUGAAAGGUUCACCCCUUGAUUGAACUACAGAGGGAAGCAACAGAAGCUUUGGUAUCCUCAACUCUUACUAACCUCUACCUUCUGCUCCAGCCUUGCCUAUGCAGCCAGGCACCCCUAAUUCCUUCCAAAGAGAAACAUGCCUCAGAUAUAUCAAAGGAGUUGAGACUUUGUCCUUUGUAAUGGCCAGUUCAGUGGCAACAGCAUUUGAGACUUUGAUCUAGUCCUUUGAAAAAUCCCUAAACAUAAUACCCAAGAUUAGAAGAUACCUUGGGGCAUUUCCUAACUGUCAAAACAUACAUGCUUCAUCAGACUUGAGUUUGAUGCUGUGUUAUUUUGUGGAAAGGAAGCUAAAACAAGUUCUGAACUGUGUUGGAACAAGCAACAGUGGGAAUAUUAGAGAGAAGAAAUUGACAAGACUGACAGUUGGUGGGGGAAGGGACAAUUGGGAGUGACAGUUGGGUCUUUUGACUAGCACUUCCUUCCUGGUGGGAAGUGGGAGGAGUUUUUCUUUGUCUCUGGGUAGAAGUUCCUCAUUUUCUUCAGCCUGAAGAGACAGGCCCAACCAGCUCUGAAGAUCAGAACUUUGUUGUUGCUUGCUGUCUACUGCUAGGAUUUUGAAAUUUAGAAAAAUAGACAGGAAUAAAAGAAAUCCUCCACCAGUUUGUGAGGCCUGGUCUUGACUCCAAAGCUGAGAAAGACUCAAACCGUAUCUAGGGAAAUCCCUCUUCCCUUUUCCCAGAUACCUCUCCAAUCCAAAAUUUAUCUAUUUUGAAUAUCAGCCAGAUAAGUAGACUAUCUCUGGGGCAUAGAGGGAGCUGAACCUCAGUUCAGUCAUCCAACACUAUAAAUAAUCUUUAUUUGACCCCUGCUGGGAGACCAAAGUCUAGGAAAAGGCUUGUCCCCCAAGUAGGUGGUCUGUGUUUACCUGCUCUGGGGCAUCUUCGUCAUCAAUCCAUAGAGAAGACAUCCCCACAGACUAUCAUAAGUGGCUCAUUUCUUGGGACACCCCAUUUUGUUCAAAAAUAGCCUCUCGGCAAGGGACAUCUCUCUCCUUUGCCUCGCUAGCAGCCAUAUUCCCUCUCUCCCUUCAACUCCUCCAUUCCCUGCUACAAACCUUCCCUGUUCCCUGUUCUUCACAUCCACCCAUCUCUCCCAGUAAAUAUUAGUUUUUGGCAGAGCUAGCUAGGUUUUCCAACCAGUUUCAGAGAAAUCGGGCCUACAUACAUUUUAAAAGCCUGUGACUGGAAAGCAGCCAUUUUGAGAGCAGUGUUGAGCGCAACUAAUCUGCCAUGUAACACCACAGUCAAAAGAAAGUAGAAGUUAAAGACGGGAUACCACCAAGGACACCAAACUAAAGAAGCCAUAAAUGGAAUCAACCCAAUUAUCCAAAGCUUGUUUGAUCAGAAAAUUUUAAUCGCAACAAUUUCAGAAUAUAAUACACCAGCAAUACCCAUAAAGAAAACAAAAUGUGACUGAAUGAAAAGUUCAGUGGAGACUGAUCAAAGAUUUAAGAGCAUAUGUAAGACUCACCAACCCCCCCAGAGGGCAGGACUGGGACCAGAGUUCCCCAGGCAAGGGUGAGGGGAAAAUGACAGGAUACAAAGGCUGGAGUCAGAAGGGUCUCACUGAGCUAAUAGCAGGAGAAGGGAACAAAAGAGCCAUUAUACAGUGCUAAGAAGCAGAAGGUCAAAAAGGACCAAUCCAAUCCAGGUUCCUUACACAUAACGUUAUCACUAUGCUUUGCACAGCUUAUAGACCUGAACUUGGAGUGUUCAACUUCCUCACCUCUUUGAGAACUUAGUCAACCAAAGGCAUAAACCAGAAGAAUUGACAGAAAGCAGAUGAUGCCACAAAAGAAAUGAGUGCCUUCUGGGGACUGAAGAGACUCUGUAGAGCUGAGAUAAAAUUGUCAACCAGUUUAUAAUCUGGCAUCCCAAUGGCAGGCCAGCCUAGUAAUGGAGCUCCAGUAGACUGAGAGGAAAUCACUUGGAGAAGAGAUGCCUUCUGUCUUCUUUACCUACUCUUGGCCAAAGGAGUGAUGCUGAAUAUGUUAAACCUUUGUUUGAGGAAUAUCCAUUUUCUGAUUGUGUCAAGGAUAGAUUAGAGAGGGGAGCACUUUUUGGAGGGGAGGUCUGGAAGUCCCUCUUCCAGUGUACAGUUUCUGUCUGGGAAGAGUGUUAAAGUGGGUGAUCUAUUAGCAUCUUAGUUUGAAUUUAACUUUGGUUACCUAACAAAGUCCUGAAGGAAUGGGUCUAGUAGCACCAAUAAAUGUCAGUAGGAGUGGAUCAAAGAAGGUUUGGAACAUGAGACACUGGUAGAAAUUGACUUCUACAGCAACACCAUAGUAUAGUAGGGGUCCCAGAUGGUCUGAAGCUAACAAGAAAGCACUAGGUAUUUAGACAAGAAGUUCUCCAAAAGGUGAAGAAUGAGCACUGAAAAAAAAUUGCUUUCCUGAUAUUUUUCCCAAAGACCCACACCACACAAAAGGAUAUGUGGACCAUGAGUUAUUCAUACCAGUUUCGUUUAUUGACUCAGAUCAUGGAUUAAGAAAAGUGCAAGUGUGGCAAUUUGAGAGAAUUUGAUUGUACACUGGGGGGUUACAAUAUGUAUCCAAUUAAGUAAAAACAAAGUAUGUUUGAAGAAAUUAAGAGCUGGUCCCUAUGGGGAAUCAGGAAGAAACUAUUGGGAGCUGGUCCCUAAAGGGAAGCAAAAUAUUCUCUUAGGUGAAGGCAAGGAGGAAGACCUUUCUGGACAGGAGGGAAUACUUGUAUAAUGAAUGGUACAGAGGCCAAAUUGGUAUGACAUGUGCUAGGAAUGGCUAAUAAUACCCAAUUUAAUGGGGAAAGAGUUCAUGAAGAAAAAGACUAUGAAGUAAGACUGGACAUAUGAAUAGAAUUUUUGUAGAUCUUUUUAAUACCAAGUUAAGUUUGUAUUUUAUCUUAGAACAAGGAGGCUACUGGUUUUUUAAAGAUUCUGUCACUAGUUAUUUUAGCCUAAAGUUUUAGUUUCUUGGUCCAAAGCAGUAUUCCUGAACCUCAGCCUUAGCCUUUAUUAUAUGUGGGACAUCCAGAAUUCCCCCUGACCUUCCCAUUUGAGAUAUAAUUACAGAUUAUAGAUGGCACAGUGAAUAGAGCUCCGGAAUUGGAGUUAGGAAGAUACAAGGUCCAAAUCUGAACUCAAAUACAUACUAGCUGCCUCAGUUUAUUCAUAUGCAAGAUGACAAUAAUAAUAGUGCCAACUUCUCAGGAUUGUUGUGUGUAUAAAGUGAGAUAUUUGAAAGGUGCUUGGAAAACUUUAAAAAUCUUUAUAUAGAUACUAGCUAUUAUGCACAUUCUAGUUAAACUGUGACAAAUUGUAAUCAAUAAUCUAGAUCCUGGAGAUCUUAGAAGAAAACUUAUCUCAUUAAUUAAUGUGGAAUAGGUAUACCCUGUUAGACUUGGUGAAUUAAGGUGUUUUUUUUUAUUUCAAGGAAGGGUUAAACCUAGAAAAGGUUGUUAAAAAUAACAAGAAAACUUUUAAAAUAAAAUAAUCACAUCAGAACUUAAAUAUCCAUGAGUGUUGUCUCCUUCCAAGUGAUUUCCAAUAGAGCCUUUGAAACUAUCAGACAAAACCAGCUUUACUUCUUUGCAGUCAGACCUCAACAAUGAUAUUGCCUGGCUUGAUAUUGAACUUAGUUGCUAAAUUUAGCCCUCAUCACCAUUGAUUGCUUCAAAAAACUUAAAUGUGUUCUCAAAGGAUGGAGAUUUUUUCUCUUUCAGGACAUUGAAAAGAAUAUUCAAUAGUCUCCGAAAGCAAUUCAGAAAUGGGAUUUUGGUAUCAUUGGUGUGACUCCCAAAGCAACUACUUAGAAUGGCAUUACUCAUUGGGAUUUAAACAUUAAGUGUUUAAAUGUUCACUUUGUCUUGGAAACUUGUUAUAUUAUAUCUAUCAAAAAAAAAAAAACCACUGCUCUAGUGCUGAAUUUACACACCUAAAUAUGAGUUAUUACUACAAAUAAGGGAGAAAGCAUUAUGUAAGUAGAGUGCUGGACAGGGAGUUAAUGCAGAGUGUUUCAAAUCCCACCUCUGGCACUUAAUAGAUGUCUGGCCAUGGGAAAAUCAUGUCACCUCUCAACCUCAGUUUCCCUCUUUGUAAAAUGUUUAUAACAUCUAUAGCACUUACCUUACCAAUUUGUUGUAAGGAGGUAAUGUGUUUGUAAAGUACUUUCUAACCCUUAAAAUAUGGUAUGUAAAUGUUGACUAUUACUAGGUUUUAUUGAAUCUUGAUUGCUUGUUUUUCCUCUCAUAAAACCAUAAAAUUCAUUUAAAAUUUCCUUUCACAAAAAAUAUCACUGACCACAGAGUCAGAAGAUUGACUUUGAAUGUACAGUUUACUGGUUUUGUGAUCUUGGAUAAGUUGGAUCAUCAGUCUCUCAAAAUGGAGGGUUUGGUCGAGGCCAGAGGAUUUCAAUUAGGGGCUCAAUAGUGUAGUUUUUAAUAACUAUAUUUUAACAUAGAAAUGAUUUCCUUCAUGAUCUUAUGCAAUUAAAAAUAUUAUCUCAAGAAGGGACUUCACAGGCUUUGCCAAGGGUUCAUGGCACAAAAAUGAUUGACAAUCCUUUGGACAAAAUGAAUUCUGAGAUCCCAUUCAGUGAUUUCAUGUGUGGUUGACUGUCUAAUACUAGAAAAUGUUCUUUUCAGCUCUCAAUUUCUGUGAUUUGAAGUGUUUUGUUUUUUUUCCAAUUGUGAAAUGUUACCUGAGGCAGACACAAGUUUCUGGAUGUGGAUGCUGGGAGAAGAUCAUGUGGAUUUCCACAGAGACCUGAGACCUUGGGGCCCACGUGGCUUCUUGGAUCAAGUGAUGACGAGGAUGCACCCAACGUGCUAACCAGAGAGGCUGGCUCGGUGCAUGCCUGGUGUGGGGAGCUGUUUGCAUCCACUGGUGACAUAAAGUCCUGGGGAUCUGCCUGUUGGAUGCCUGGGCUCUGGAGUGGCUGCAAAGAGAAAACCAGCAUGUGGGAGGAGAGCUGAACUCCAGCUAGAACCUUGAAAGCAUCCAUGGUAAUUUGAGAAUAAGCCUUAGCAUGCUUUCAAACUUAGUCUCUUUCAGGAAAUACAUAAGCAUGAAUGACCUCCUACAUCUGUUUUAAGGAAAUAGUCUGGGGCAUUUCCUUCAGAAGAAGAAAUACUUAUUAAGCACCUGCUGCAUACAAGGCACCCUGAAAGUGACAGCACUACUUACUUAGCUAUGUGAUAUAGGGCGAAAAAUCACUUAUCUUCUCUAUGCCUCAAUUUCUUCAGCUCUAAAAUAAAGAGAUUGGAUCAUAUGGUCUUUACAAAGUACCUUUUUAGAUCCUAUCAUCAUGAAAAUUCCAGGGCUCACUUGGUAUGCAUAAAAUAAGAUCUCUGAGGGGCAGCUGGGUAGCUCAGUGGAUUGAAAAUGGAUAGAAACAGGAGGUCCUGGGUUCAAAUCUGGCCUCAGACAGUUCCUAGCUCUGUGACCCUGGACAAGUCACUUAACCUCCAUUGCUUAGCCCUUACUACUCUUCUGCCUUACAACCAAUACACAGUACUGAUUCUAAGAUAGAAGGUAAGGGUUUUUUUUUUACAGAUAAUUUCUUUUGACAGUUAGAUGGGGAAAAUAAAAUAUAAAUAUGGGUAGCUUUUUUUUUAAAUCAAAGAUGUCUGUCUUCCUUGUCACUUAUUCUUUUCAAUAAUACAAUUGAUUUCCUUUUAACUAUGAUGUGACAUUUUUUCAGGCUUUGUGACUAAUUAAUUCAAGCAAGUUUCUUAAACUUUCCAGGCCUCAGUUUCUUCCUCUGUGAGCUUUAAAUGUUAAGAAGUUAAAUUCUAUGACCUGUGAGGUCCUUCUAACUAGGCACAACAGGAAGAGACAUCAUGAAAUCUCACGUUGUUUCAUGAGCAAAUAAGUUUUUCAGAGUACAUUGAGUGUUAGAGGAAUAUGGAGGGAAAAAAAGGUCACUUCUCUUUAAGUAGAUCAGAGCAAUUAGAAAGGAACUUAGGUAUGAGCUGGAAAACAAUGGACAAGUAGGAUUUGGAUAAGCAGAGAGCUGAAAAGAAUGUUUAUCAUGAUGGGGCUACAUUAAUGGAGAAGGUGUUUUCUGUAACAAAAGGGCAGCAUUGUGGUUAUUGAUCAGUACAGAUAAACUUCUCUAUUAUAUAUUGUAUUAUUAUAGUAUACAUAAUAUAUUGUUAUUAUAUAUUAUACUAUACUAUGUUACAUCAUAUUAUAUAUUGUCAUAUUAUAUUAUGUCAUGUUCUAUCAUGUCAUAUUAUAUCAUAUAUCAUAUUAGAUCAUGCCACAUUAUAGUAUGUAAUAUUCUAUUA